UGUGAGCAUGCCUGUCGGGAC
rnacentral:siRNA from 1 species